GGUCGAGCAGGUGCGAAAGCAGGAACUAGUGAUCCGGCCAUGGCACGUGGGUGCGUGGUCGCUCAACGGAUAAAAGGUACCCCGGGGAUAACAGGCUGAUCUUGCCCAAGAGUCCAUAUCGACGGCAUGGUUUGGCACCUCGAUGUCGGCUCGUCGCAUCCUGGGGCUGGAGUUGGUCCCAAGGGUUGGGCUGUUCGCCCAUUAAAGCGGUACGCGAGCUGGGUUCAGAACGUCGUGAGACAGUUCGGUCCCUAUCCUCUGUGGGCGUAGGAAAAUUGAGGGAGGCUGCCCCUAGUACGAGAGGACCGGGGUGGACGGACCUCCGGUGUACGGGUUGUUAACCAAUAGCAUUGCCCGGUAGCUGAGUCCGGUCGGGAUAACCGCUGAAAGCAUCUAAGCGGGAAGCCCAUCCCAAGAUGAGUUUUCCUUUCGGUAAGACCCCUUGUAGACUACGAGGUUGAUAGGAUGCAGAUGUAAGUGCUGUAAGGCAUUCAGUCGAGCAUUACUAAUCGGUCGAGCUCUUCUUUUCUUUAAUAUAUUUU
rnacentral:rRNA from 1 species